ensembl:lncRNA
AGAGAAAGGUGGUCUCAGACAACAGACCAGAAUGGCACCUCGGGGGCUUGGCAGGGUGCAGGCAGGAUCCAGGGAACUACUGGCGUCUGGGAGGAGCCUCUCAGGUUUACACAAAGAGGACUCCCAGUAGGAACAUUUGAAGGUUUUCCUCCUGUGACUGUUGGAACCACCUGGGCGUGCGACUUGUUGUCUGGGUGCGGCUCAUGGAUCAGCAUCUAUUCAAAACCUCCAGGAGUGAGAACCACAGUCUUAGCAACCAGGCCAGGUCUUCUGACCAACUUCACCAACCUGAAGUCAUCGAAGCUCCACUGGGGUUUCUCAGGUCAUACGGACACUGUAGGUGAAGAUACAGGUUGGAUUCAGCUCCAAGAGGACAUGUAUGACAAACUCAAGGAGAACUCCUGCGCAAAAUGCAGUGGAUUGUGCAGGAAGAGGAAAGGAAUGGGGCUUGAACACAGGGAGAAACUGAGACCCACUCGAUUUGGGGGCCAGGUACACGUGUGCAGAGACAGCCUGCCUGGAAAAUGUGUCCAUGGCAGUGUGGCCGUGAGAGCAUCUUCACCUGCAUGGAAAGUGUGUCCACGGCAGUGUGACCGUGAGGGCAUCUUCACCUGCAUGGAAAGUGUGUCCACGGCAGUGUGGCCGUGAGAGCAUCUUCACCUGCCUGGAAAGUGUGUCCACGGCAAUGUGGCCGUGAGAACAUCUUCACCUGGAUAAAAAGUGUGUCCACGGCAGUGUGACCGUGAGGGCAUCUUCACCUGCAUGGAAAGUGUGUCCACGGCAGUGUGGCCGUGAGAGCAUCUUCACCUGCCUGGAAAGUGUGUCCACGGCAAUGUGGCCGUGAGAACAUCUUCACCUGGAUAAAAAGUGUGUCCAUGGCAGUGUGGCCGUGAGAGCAUCUUCACCUGGAUGGAAAGUGUGUCCACGGCAGUGUGACCGUGAGAGCAUCUUCACCUGCAUGGAAAGUGUGUCCACGGCAGUGUGGCCGUGAGGGCAUCUUCACCUGGAUGGAAAGUGUGUCCACGGCAGUGUGACCGUGAGGGUAUCUUCACCUGCAUGGAAAGUGUGUCCACGGCAGUGUGACCGUGAGGGCAUCUUCACCUGCAUGGAAAGUGUGUCCACGGCAGUGUGGCCAUGAGAACAUCUUCACCUGGAUAAAAAGUGUGUCCACGGCAGUGUGACCAUGAGGGCAUCUUCACCUGGAUGGAAAGUGUGUCCACGGCAGUGUGGCCGUGAGGGCAUCUUCACCUGGAUGGAAAGUGUGUCCACGGCAGUGUGACCGUGAGAACAUCUUCACCUGGAUGGAAAAUGUGUCCACGGGAGUGUGACCGUGAGAGCAUCUUCACCUGCAUGGAAAGUGUGUCCAUGGCUAUGUGGCUGUGAGAGCAUCUUUACCGGGUGCCAUUUGCAGAUGUUUUAGGAGCAACUGGACUUUGAUGGGGACUCUAAUUCAGUUAUAGGUCAGCGGUUCCUUGGCGAAGCAAUGGGGGGAGUGUCCAGGUUUCAUCCUAGAACAUAAUCAACUUUUCAGGGUGAGACCACGUGCAGCCACGUGCAGCCAGGCUCCCCGGUGACUGCGUCAACUGCCAGGCUUGAGCCUGACCUGGUCGCCAGGGAGCCAGAGCCCCAGCGGAUGUCACAGUGGCCUAAGCACAUCUCACUGGAACCCAUAAGCCUCAGGUGACAGGAGUUGGAAGUGACCCACCUGGCAUCCCAGUGCCAAGGGUGAGGGCAGAUAUGGGUAAUUAAAGAAAUGGCUGUUCCCUAUUUUAGUCACCAUUUUCUUCAUGGCUUCUCAGUUUUGCGUGUUUGACAAUGAACUCAGACAGCGCAGUAGAGCGUAGGGAGGGGAAGGGAUGACUGAGCUGCUGUCUUCCCAGGCCUCCGCUCUCCAGCUUCACCCUGUAGUUAUGGGACAGGGCUGGUGAUCUGCUCUCUCCGCAUCUGUUAGUGAGGCUUGUGGCCUAGUCCAGGGUCACUCCUGCCAGCAGUCAUAAGCCAGCCCCCUUCUGCCUCCGGCAGCAACAUGGCGGCAACAUCCCAGGCCUCUAAGUCCAUAAAUAAUAAACCACAAAGGCAGAUUUAAAAAAAAAAUGGCAAAACGAAUAUGAGUCUAUCAGCAAAGACUAGUUAGAGGUAAAACACGUGGAAAUAUUCCUGACCAAAACUAUAAAAUAUCCAGGAAUAAAUUUCACAGAAAAUGUGAAAGAUACAUGAAAUUUACUCCCCGGAAGGCCACCAGAAA